CAGCCGCCGCGGGAAUACGGAGGGUGCAAGCGUUAUUCGGAAUUACUGGGCGUAAAGCGCACGCAGGCGGUCUGACAAGUCAGAUGUGAAAUCCCCGGGCUUAACCUGGGAACUGCAUUUGAAACUGUCAGGCUGGAGUCUUGUAGAGGGGGGUGGAAUUCCAGGUGUAGCGGUGAAAUGCGUAGAGAUCUGGAGGAAUACCGGUGGCGAAGGCGGCCCCCUGGACAAAGACUGACGCUCAGGUGCGAAAGCGUGGGGAGCAAACAGGAUUAGAUACCCCUGUAGUCCCUGUCUCUUAUAC
rnacentral:rRNA from 1 species